UUAUUUGUUUCGUAUUCUCCAUUAACGAGAAGCCUAACGAUCGAAUAUGAAAAUUACAGAAAGUAAAACUUAGAAAUUGAAAGAAAUUAGUAAAAUUGAGAGGGAAAUUCAAUUCGUUAAGAUAACUGUUGGAACUUGGAACAAUGGCUUCGAGGCUUUGACUGAGAGGGAAAUUCAAUUCGCUAAGUUUUUGUAGCGCAAGCAAAAAUAAAAUCAUUCACAUUAUGUUAGAAAAUGUGAGAUUUUAUUUGCUACACAUUUAUUGAAAGCUCAAUCACCAAUGAAAUAUUUCAGUCUCAUGCAUUUUUAUCCCAUCAAAUGCGAUUGUUUAAAUCACAUAUGUAAUUUACAUCGUAUUGUUUUUUAUGAAUGAGUUAUAUUGAAAUUAACCGGUGUACUACAUGGGAAGCAUAUUGUUUUAUUUCCAGUCAUAACAUUUUUUUUUUUGAACACCCAGUCAUCUAUACUAUACUAAAAGCAGAAUAACAAACCCUAUGAGAUAUGUCACCUAGGAUCAGAAAAUCAGCCACUAAUAUUGCAGCAAUCAUCCAUGUCAUCUCUCUAUAAUAUUGAUUUGAGCUUCGUGUUUUGUAUUGGGUUUCUAUUUUAACUUUUCUUAUUUUGUUUUGGGCUUCUUCUCCUUACGUCGACUCAUUCUCUCUUCUCUCUUUGAUGAUUCCGCCGUUCUUCUUUCACCUUUAGCCUUCCACCUCUUCCAUUACUCUUCUCUCCAAAUCCGUUUCAUCACAUACCUUCAUCGCCUCCUCCGCGACUGCUAAACCAAACGGGAAGUCCACCGCUUUUGUUCCCUGAGACAGUGAAGAAAACGAUCUCGACUCUCUUCUUCUGCGGUAACAACGAUUCAGUGGCACAUUACUUUCAAUCGCCCAUGAUGAGGUCAUUCAGACAUUCCCACGACCUUCUGUUCAAUUUAUCUUCACCUUCUUCUACAUCACAAGGGACACAAUUUUGUUAUAAGGUCACCACACAAAUACUCUUUUGUUAGUCGAGAUACAAAACAGAAGCCAAAAUCAUAAUUAAGUCAAAUCAACAAGGAACCCAACUUCAACCCUCUACAUACGUUCAUGAUGACAACAAGAAACUACUCUUCAAUUGGCUCCAUACACUCCGAUCUGAAGAAGAAAAAAUCAUUGAUGAAGUCAGGGAGAUAAAUGAUCAGACUUUUAAAUUUCACAAGAUGGAUGAAGAAGAAGAAGUUUCCAUUGAAGAUGUACCAGAUGUAAAAGAGGAGAGCUAUGUGCUUGAGUUUCGCCUUAACCUUCUCCAAAUGAUUCAUUGAUUUAAGUUAUUGGCCGUCCCAUCCACUUAUGACCACUCAUAUGAUCAGUAUAAAGGUUGAACUGUUGUGUUCCUUAGAAAAGGACUAUAUAUGCAUCUUUACUCCAUGUUUUAUAAAGGUGUCCUCAAACGUUGUAAUCUGGCGGGUUUCAUCUGAACCUCUGUUCGAUUCUUGGAUCUGACAUCUGAUCUUUUGUCGCUUUCCAUGAGUAGAAGAUGUUGCAGAUGCGUACAAAGCCAUCGAGUUGGAGCUUACAUUGGCAAUAGCGUAUUUCAGCAAUGGGAAGAGGCUAUCAAGCUACAUGACCCGAAAAGGAGGUUGGAUUGCUCAAGGGUUCUUCAAUGAGUGAGAUUUCUGAGCUGAAGAAACAAACAAAGAUAUCGUAUGAGAGGCAGCUUAACCGCAUCACAGAGAUGAUUGAGACAUAGCUGAGAGAAACGGCGAAGACGCUGGAGCGAAAGACUUGAAAAGCGGAAGAGAGCAUAUGAUGUUCUGAAAUGGUCAAGCGAUGAGAUUAAGAAGCUGAGAAAAAAAUUGGAGAGGGCGAAAAUAGACCAAAGGAGCUGCAAAAAAAACUGGGGAAAUGCAUCAAUCUGCAAUUGAGAAUCAAUUUAUGUAUUCUAUGAGGUUCCAUAAAAGAAAAGACUAAGAUUUUUGAGAAGAGGCCAAAAUUCUUAGUUUAGAGUUAUUGUUGGUUUGUAUGAUUUAAAUAUCAAGUUCGGGUAGAUUUGUGUAAAAACUUUGUUCUAUAGUUUGGUUUGGGGUGGACAAUGAUAUUAUUUGUAUGUGUAGAUCAAUUUUUGAUUCAAUUUUAUUUCUAUUAUAAAACUGUUCAAGUUGGUAUUA